rnacentral:lncRNA from 1 species
CCAACUUCAUCUUCAUCGCUGAAAAUCAGCAAUCAGCAGCCGCGACCCCACUGCCCAUAACGUCUUCUUCACGCAGUAAUCCGGGCAAACCCGAAAAUCCAGCAGUAAAUCCCGGCGCGACAGUGUCCGCCCAUACGUAUGUCACCCUCACGUCCAAUCGUCCCCAUUUUUCCCCUGUUUCGAGGUUUCAGAGCAACAACAACUCUCUAUUGCUUUUACUGUUGCCUCGAAAAGGAACGGGGGAUUCAAAAUUCAAAUGGAUUUUACCCAAAAAUCAACCCUAUUCUCGACUUUAUUUAAGAUCCCUUUCUCGUUGUGUCUAAGGGAGGGAGACGUUUUUUAGGGCUUGUUCUUAGACAAUACAUUCAAGAAAUUUUAAAACGAUUUUUCUAAUUCUAGGUACUAAGAAAGGUUUCGUCUGAAGUUACUUAGAAAUUCUUGGUUUGCUACUUGAGUCGAAGGUGUGCGAGAAGUCCUCUUGCCAGUCGUCUCCAGUAUCGCUGCUCCGAAAAAGGUAAUACCCCCUUCCCUACGAACUUCACUAUUCGUUUCCUAAUGGUUUGCAAUUCGUUUUGGUUAAUGAAGUUUCUUGGUUCUUAUUAAUAUGAGGAUCUCCUUGUACAUGAUUUUAAUAAAAGUACUUCAACUUUAUGAAUAUGUUAGGCAGUAGGUACUAACAUUGUACACUUCUUCCUGGAUUUAACUCGUGUGAUAGGAGCUUAGGAUGAAUAGGGUAAAAUCUGAAAUCUUGACUAAUAGAUGCCCUUCGUUCACUUAUUGAGAUGUAUGCUCCGUCAUGUGUGAAUUUAAUUAAAAAAGAUUGUACGUUGUUAGUUAACAUUGAUAUGAUCUUCACAUCCGAACUAAGUACGUCCGUAUCUUCAACAUGUGUUGAUUGAGUUUUUUUUUUUUUUUUU